GAGACCCAGCUUUGAGACAGAAAUGGCCUCAGAGCUGAGCUCACGUGCUUCUAACCACUUUGAAAACACUCAUCAGGUUGAAGAAGGCCACAAAGUCCUCACCAGAACUCCACUGGGGGCCCCCCAGGGCUCAUCUGGAGCUCCUCCCGGGCCCCUCUGAGGCCUGAGCUUAGAGGGUCCCGCUGCAGAGCCCUCGCCUCCCACACUCCGCUCGGGACUGGAGACGUGGGGUGGGGGUCGGGGGCCUCUGAGCUGCAGCCCCUCACCAGGUAGCUGUCUGUGAUGCUGACGGACAAACAGAAAGACAUUCAGACCCCGAGGAGGCCCUGGGAGCCGCUGACUAACUGCUGAGUCUACUCUGUGGAAUCCGGGGAGGCCCAGGGCACUACAGCCGUUUUCUACAAGGCAUCUUCCCGACCCAGGGAUGGAACCCGCGUCUCCUGCCUUGGUCGGCGGUUCUUUACCACCUGAGCCGCCAGGGCAUCUUCCUGACCCAGGGAUGGAACCCGCGUCUCCUGCCUUGCUCGGCGGUUCUUUACCAUCUGAGCCGCCAGGGAAGCCUGGUGAUUAGUCGUUGUUGCUGCUCAGUCACUCAGUUGUGUCCGACCCUUUGCGGCUCUGUGGACCACAGCCCACCAAGCUUCCCUGUCCUCUGCUGUCUCCCGGUGUUUGCUCAAACUCAUGUCCAUCAUGUGAUAGGUAGAUUAGGUAAAUUCUUUGCUCGGUUUCAGAACAGGAAGCGUGGAAAGUGUGCCUGAAGACUAAAUAGAGAAGUUCAGUACAAA
ensembl:lncRNA